rnacentral:misc_RNA from 1 species
CGGGUUGCAUUUGGAGCCUCGGGUGGCCUCUCCUUGCGAGGUGUCGUCGAGACGUUCGGUGUUUCUCGUCUUGCGAUGGGACGACGCGUGAGUGGUGAUUAGGAUAUGUUUCCCAUGCAGGCUCCGUGUAUCUGGCAUCGAACUGCUCGGGACGUAUCUGUUUCAUUUGUGGGUUCGCCUCGGCGUUUUGUGGGUCGGUCGCGACAACUCGUUGGGUUCCUGUGCUUGAUAUUGGAUUCGGUAGUCGGAUGGAUUGCUGUUCCCCGUCAUGGUUUAUCGAUUCUCCUCCGCCUCGCGCGUCGAUGGUGGAUAUUGUGCGGGCACCGACGUUUUCGUUUCGGGCCGUUGUCCCCAUUUGGGCGCUUCUGCUCGUAAUGGGACGUCGAUGCUCCCGGCACUCUCGGGUAUGGAUACUUUCUGGUUAUCGCUUAGGCCUUCGACCUUUGAGAACGUAAUGUAUCGAAGCUUUCUAGCUUCCGCAUGUAUGACCCUCGUGCUCGUCUAAGGGCUCACGGAGCCUCUCGGUUCGGUGCUCUUCUUGGGGAGCCAACGAGGUCUUACGAAGGAAUGCUACCUGGUUGAU